rnacentral:rRNA from 1 species
GAUGAACGCUGGCGGCGUGCCUAAUACAUGCAAGUCGAGCGAACAGAUAAGGAGCUUGCUCCUUUGACGUUAGCGGCGGACGGGUGAGUUACACGUGGAUAACCUACCUAUAAGACUGGGAUAACUUCGGGAAACCGGAGCUAAUACCGGAUAACAUAUUGAACCGCAUGGUUCAAUAGUGAAAGGCGGCUUUGCUGUCACUUAUAGAUGGAUCCGCGCCGUAUUAGCUAGUUGGUAAGGUAACGGCUUACCAAGGCAACGAUACGUAGCCGACCUGAGAGGGUGAUCGGCCACACUGGAACUGAGACACGGUCCAGACUCCUACGGGAGGCAGCAGUAGGGAAUCUUCCGCAAAGGGCGAAAGCCUGACGGAGCAACGCCGCGUGAGUGACGAAGGUCUUCGGAUCGUAAAACUCUGUUAUCAGGGAAGAACAAAUGUGUAAGUAACUGUGCACAUCUUGACGGUACCUGAUCAGAAAGCCACGGCUAACUACGUG